rnacentral:rRNA from 1 species
AGAGUUUGAUCCUGGCUCAGGACGAACGCUGGCAGCGUGCCUAAUACAUGCAAGUAGAACGCUGAAGUCUGGUGCUUGCACUAGACGGAUGAGUUGCGAACGGGUGAGUAACGCGUAGGUAACCUGCCUCAUAGCGGGGGAUAACUAUUGGAAACGAUAGCUAAUACCGCAUAACAGUAUUUACCGCAUGGUAGGUACUUGAAAGGAGCAAUUGCUUCACUAUGAGAUGGACCUGCGUUGUAUUAGCUAGUUGGUGAGGUAACGGCUUACCAAGGCUUCGAUACAUAGCCGACCUGAGAGGGUGAUCGGCCACACUGGGACUGAGACACGGCCCAGACUCCUACGGGAGGCAGCAGCAGGGAAUCUUCGGCAAUGGGGGCAACCCUGACCGAGCAACGCCGCGUGAGUGAAGAAGGUUUUCGGAUCGUAAAGCUCUGUUGUAAGAGAAGAACUGUGAGAAGAGUGGAAAGUUUCCCAUUUGACGGUAUCUUACCAGAAAGGGACGGCUAACUACGUGCCAGCAGCCGCGGUAAUACGUAGGUCCCGAGCGUUGUCCGGAUUUAUUGGGCGUAAAGCGAGCGCAGGCGGUUUGAUAAGUCUGAAGUAAAAGGCUGUGGCUUAACCAUAGUACGCUUUGGAAACUGUCAAACUUGAGUGCAGAAGGGGAGAGUGGAAUUCCAUGUGUAGCGGUGAAAUGCGUAGAUAUAUGGAGGAACACCGGUGGCGAAAGCGGCUCUCUGGUCUGUAACUGACGCUGAGGCUCGAAAGCGUGGGGAGCGAACAGGAUUAGAUACCCUGGUAGUCCACGCCGUAAACGAUGAGUGCUAGGUGUUGGGUCCUUUCCGGGACUCAGUGCCGCAGCU